rnacentral:rRNA from 1 species
CCUACGGGUGGCAGCAGUGAGGAAUAUUGGUCAAUGGGCGCGAGCCUGAACCAGCCAAGUAGCGUGAAGGAUGACUGCCCUACGGGUUGUAAACUUCUUUUAUAAAGGAAUAAAGUGAGGCAAGUGUGCCUUUUUGUAUGUACUUUAUGAAUAAGGAUCGGCUAACUCCGUGCCAGCAGCCGCGGUAAUACGGAGGAUCCGAGCGUUAUCCGGAUUUAUUGGGUUUAAAGGGAGCGUAGAUGGGUUGUUAAGUCAGGUGUGAAAGUUUGCGGCUCAACCGUAAAAUUGCAAUUGAUACUGGCAGUCUUGAGUACAGUUGAGGGAGGCGGAAUUCGUGGUGUAGCAGUGAAAUGCUUAGAUAUCACGAAGAACUCCGAUGGCGAAGGCAGCUUACUAAACUGCCACUGACAUUGAUGCUCGAAAGUGUGGGUAUCAAACGGGAUUAGAUACCCUAGUAGUC